rnacentral:rRNA from 1 species
UGGGGAAUAUUGCACAAUGGGCGCAAGCCUGAUGCAGCAACGCCGCGUGAACGAUGAAGGUCUUCGGUUCGUAAAGUUCUGUUGCAGGGGAAGAUAAUGACGGUACCCUGUGAGGAAGCCCCGGCUAACUACGUGCCAGCAGCCGCGGUAAUACGUAGGGGGCUAGCGUUAUCCGGAUUUACUGGGGGUAAAGGGUGCGUAGGUGGUCUUUCAAGUCGGUGGUUAAAGGCUACGGCUCAACCGUAGUUAGCCUCCGAAACUGGAAGACUUGAGUGUAGGAGAGGAAAGUGGAAUUCCCAGUGUAGCGGUGAAAUGCGUAGAUAUUGUGGGGAACACCAGUAGCGAAGGAGGCUUUCUGGACUGCAACUGACACGGUGGAACGAAAGAGUGGGUAGCAAACAGG